UACGUAGGAGGCGAGCGUUGUCCGGAUUUACUGGGCGUAAAGCGCGCGCAGGCGGCAUGGCAAGUAAGGUGUGAAAUCUCCCUGCCUAACGGGGAGGGUGCAUUUUAGACUGCCAAGCUAGAGUACGAAAGAGGAUCGCGGAAUUCCCGGUGUAGAGGUGAAAUUCGUAGAUAUCGGGAGGAACACCGGUGGCGAAGGCGGGUCUCUGGGCCGAUACUGACGCUGAGGAGCGAAAGCGUGGGGAGCGAACAGG
rnacentral:rRNA from 1 species